rnacentral:rRNA from 1 species
UACGUAGGGUGCAAGCGUUGUCCGGAAUUAUUGGGCGUAAAGAGCUCGUAGGCGGUUUGUUGCGUCGGCUGUGAAAUCCCGAGGCUCGACCUCGGGCCUGCAGUCGAUACGAGCAAACUAGAGUGUUGCAGGGGAGACUGGAAUUCCUGGUGUAGCGGUGAAAUGCGCAGAUAUCAGGGAGGAACACCGGUGGCGAAGGCGGGUCUCUGGGCCACUACUGACGCUG